rnacentral:rRNA from 1 species
UACCAGCACCCCGAGUGGUCGGGACGUUUAUUGGGCCUAAAGCAUCCGUAGCCGGUUCUACAAGUCUUCCGUUAAAUCCACCUGCUUAACAGAUGGGCUGCGGAAGAUACUAUAGAGCUAGGAGGCGGGAGAGGCAAGCGGUACUCGAUGGAUAGGGGUAAAAUCCGUUGAUCCAUUGAAGACCACCAGUGGCGAAGGCGGCUUGCCAGAACGCGCUCGACGGUGAGGGAUGAAAGCUGGGGGAGCAAACCGG